UACGUAGGGACCAAGCGUUGUUCGGAUUUACUGGGCGUAAAGGGCGCGUAGGCGGCGUGACAAGUCACUUGUGAAAUCUCCGGGCUUAACCCGAAACUGCAUUCGAUACUGCCGUGCUUGAGGACUGGAGAGGAGACUGGAAUUUACGGUGUAGCGGUGAAAUGCGUAGAUAUCGUAAGGAAGACCAGUGGCGAAGGCGGGUCUCUGGACAGUUCCUGACGCUGAGGCACGAAGGCCAGGGGAGCAAACGGG
rnacentral:rRNA from 1 species